UGCUGGGCCAGGUCAUAGUAUUGCCAGUGUGGAUUCCGUGUGACUUUCUCUUCCUUCAGCCUGGUAACCAGCAACUGUACAGUAGCCUGGAUCCCUGUGUCACUAUGGAGAGCACAGCCUACCUGCAGUGGACACACACAUCAAAGAGAAAGAAUCCGUUUUAUUUCAAGGUUGAUGUGUCACAUAAAGCCCCUCUGCCUAGUCAACUGUCUGCAUGGAAGUCUCAGGUGACUUGCCUUCUUGGAGAUGGAGCAGCUUGUUCAUGUGGCCUCCUCCGGUGCUCUUUGUUUUUGGGACUGGCCUUGCUCCAGCCUGUGUAUGUGAUCAUUUUCCAGCUUCAACCUCUCCCCAUAGAUUAUAAAUUAAACCUACUAAGUACAUUUAUUUUUUCAUUCUCCCUGCACAAAACAAAGUCAAAAUAUAUACAACUCCCCACCUCUCAAUUCCUUCAGAGAAAGCAUCUAGAGGUUCCACAUAAGCCAUGUCAAGGAUUUUUGCUUUUACUCUUUAAGAAUUUGUUUAUAUUUGUGUUUUUGAACACUACUGCAGAAUGGAUACAUGGGAAGGAGCUGGAGGAAGCAUCAGGCCUACCCAAGGUCAACCACUGUGAUGAAAAGUGUGUUGUCUCUGCUAGAAUUGAUGAGUCAGUGAUUCACACUUCUACCAUCCAAAAACUGGAGCAAAUAGCAGCUACUCUUUACAUGUCUUCAGAUAUCUUCAUAGCUUGAUGAGAAGCUUGAGGGGAAGCUACCACUAUCAGUGAGGUUUGUAUUCCAUGUCUGCCUGAGGAGUCUGCACUUAAGUGGAAAUGUCAUGGUGUUUUAGAAUAGGAUGGUAGUGUGGGGUGAAGCACAAAAGGAAUUGGAACCUCUUAGUGUUAUUAUCUCUACAGUGGGAUAACCAUCCUCACUCCACCUAACAUCCAAGGCUUUAGUAAGGAUUAUGUGAGAUAAUAUUUGCAGAAAUUCUUUGUGAAUGCUGUAGCACUCUCAAAUCUCAAUAGGCUUGCUUGCUUUCUCUCUCCCUUUCUCUUUCUUUCUUUCUUUCUUUCUUUCUUUCUUUCUUUCUUUCUUUCUCUCUCUCUUUUCUUUCUCCCUCCCUCUUUUUUCUUUCUUUCCAUCUUGAUAUCCUGAGACAUACCAAAGUGCCUGAUAUUUAGUAAUGCUUAAUAAAUGUGAAGCAGUUAAGUUAAUAUCCGGCCAUAUGUUCUUGCUUGUGGGGUUUAUCUAGGGUUAUUUCAUGAUGUUAUGAGUCUGGGAGAAGUCAGGACUCCACAUCCGUCUCUUGAGUGACAGAUCCUCGAAAGGAGCCUUUCCAAGCUUAGGUAACCUGAGAGUUUAUUGAAAUAUAUGUGAUAUGGGUAGCCUUGGGUCUCCUUGUUAAUUCAGCAACUCUCCAGAUGGCUUCUAUUUACUCCUCCGUGGUCUACACUUUUACUGUUCUUACCCAUCUUGGUCUAAGUACAGAGCUUAUCUGCUUCUCUAGUCUACAAGAAAGAGCCCAUCUUUGCUACGUAUUAUCUGCUUAACAACUGUAUAAAAUAUUCAAAGGGCUGCAGAGAGAAAUCUCAUUGCAUCUUGCAGAGCAUUCUAACAUCCCAAUGGCUCUGUUCUUCAUUUUUAUUUUAAUUUUCUUCCCUUCCCCCUUUAAACAACUUGGACAUUUCUCUCUUUACAUCUGAAGAAUUCAAUUCUACUCAAACCCAUGUCCUUCAUAGCUUAUCCUUUUAAUCCUCCCUGCAGUUUUUUCUCAAACAAAUGCAGCUCCAUUUCUUAAGACACCUUAAAUACCAAGCUCCAAGCUCAGACACCUUAAAUACCGAAACACCUUAAUACCUAAGUAACCACAGUGCUUAUUAACAUCAAUAUGAUUUUAUGUUAUUUGAUACAAAUGUGCUAAAAUCAUUUAAAAUUUUCUUUCACAAGUGUACUUUAUCAACUUUUUAAAAUGUCUAGGGAUCAUUUCUAUCUUUGGUGCAAAAAAAAAGGGGGAGAAAAACUUAACAACAUGAUAUUCCAUCUCAGAUAUAAGGCAUAUACAUAUAUUGGAAAACAAUAAGACAAUACAUGAUUUCUUGAAUUGUUCCAUUAUCCUGUAUUUAGCUCAGGCUUGUGACCGAGAUAGUACUUGCUAAAAACCCCAGUGGGCCACUAACAAGUCACAUAACUUGGGAAGAUCAUUACUCUAAGUCUGUUCCCUGAUGCAUAAGUUGUCAGAAAUAAAUGCAAUUAAAUAAGAUUGAAUCACUUUGUAAGAUGUAUUGGCUUUUAGUAUUUUACCCAGAUUACUUAGGUUGCUACAACUUGAAAUAGCUCAGUAUCAAGAGGAAUUAACCCUCCUCUACACCACUUUCUCUUGGCCAUCAGCUCGAAGUAGGGAGAUAUCUAACAAUGAGGGUCCUUUCACUGUUUAUAAUUAAAGUCUCUCCCCCAAACUAUGUCCUGUAGAUAGACAGACAUUGAAGAAUAGUAUUAAAAUGCAAGCCUUAGCUAUAGUCAUGCCAAUCUCAUGAGUAGAGCAGCCAGUCCUUCCAGUGGUUUAGUUGAACAAGUGUCAGAAACAGUACCAUCUCAACUUCUCCAAUGGGUGGACAAGUCCUCAAUGCUUUGCUGAAUUUUCUUUGAGUUGUACAGUGGUCUCAGCUGUUUCUACUUAGUCUUUCUUCCUUUUGUCCGUCACUGAGAGUCACUAUGCACUGUGGUCUGAUCAGUCGUCCAGCCUUUUCCUACCCUCUCCCUGUUUUUCCUUACAAAGAUAUUUUCCCUAAUGAAACCCUUACUUUCAAUUUUGGAACUGACCUUAGAAGUAGUGGUUAAGGCGAAUCAGACCUUAGAAGCCGUUUUCUUAGCUUUGUUAAUGCCUCCACUAAUCAUAAGGCAGCAUGAACAAGGUCUGAGCAGGUCCUCACUAUCCAUCUCUAGGGUGACAGCCAAAGUUACAGGUCAGUAGUGGCAUCUUCCAAGGUGAAAGACUGGCUUCAAGUUUGCAUCUUUCUCUUGGUUAUGCUUGAAAAAUAUUUAUUAUUUGAAAUAAUUGUUGGAAAUUUCAUUAGCUAUAAAAGUUUUAGUAUUUCAUUUUAAAGUGCCUUUAUCAAUGCCGAACAAAUGUGACACUUUUGGCCUUGGAGAAAACAAAGGAACUAUCAUCAGCAUAGGAGAAUUGACAUGAAAGGUCAGUAAAGAGUACCAAGGACAGAUUAUGGAGGGAAUUAUCUCCAGCUAACAUCUUUAUUUUUUAUUUUCAAAAGCAAAACAGAAAAAAGAAUUUCUAAAGAAUAGUAGGAAAUUAACACUAGUUAAUACGAUGCAUAUUGUUAUCUUAUUGUUAUCUAUUGUUCAGGUUACAAGAUCUAGGCCUAAAAAAAUGAUCAAACAGUCAAACACUGACAGCACAAACUGUUCUUCCCAGCUAACAUCUUUUGCAGAAGAGCAAACAUUGUCAACUGUAGCACAAGCACUAGAAUGGAACAUGAGGAAUUUGGCCUUGAGUAAUGAAAAAUGUUACAGACUAAUCUCUGAAAGCAGCUUUUUCUUUUGUAGUGAGACCCCAGACUAGUGGUUCCUAAAUUUAGUGUGCAUAAGAGUCACCUGAAGGCUUAUCAAAUUGCAGACUCCAGCAAAGAUCCUGAUUCUACGUGUUUGGGUUACUGUCACAUUUAAACCCAGAACUGCCCGGCACAGUUUGUCUGGGAUAGUUUAAUGUUUAGGAUAUAGGAAGUAGAAGGAUAGACUGGGUGAGUUGUCCUCAGAGGCAGUUUUCUCUAGAAAUCAAUUAUUUGUCUUUAAAAAGAAUAUUUGGAAUCAUCUCAGGAGAUUUCUGAAAAAUUUUUAUGCUCUAAAUUUAUCAAUCAUUUUGGAGCUAGUUUUUCCUCCAUUGAUAUAAUAUCAACCUAGCAAGCAUUCAGUCUCUUCCACUGUAGAAGGCCCAUUACUAACGCUACUUUGGGGGCAGUGGUGAAGACAAAAUGAGACAAUAUCUGUGUAGCAGGACAACAUCUUGCAUAUGAUAAACCAGGAGGUGGCAAAUUUCUGAAAAGGGCCAGAUGGUCAGUACAUUAGGAUUUGUGGGCUACUGGGCUCUGUUGCAACUUGUACUCAUCUGCACACAAAAGCAGCCAGAGACAAUGAAUGUGUGUGGCCGCACUGUAAUAAAACUAUUUCAGAAAAGCAGGUUUUAGCUGCAUCUGGCCCGCCACCAGGAGUCUGCUGACCUUUGUUGUUAAGGUUUAUGAUCUUUGAUAACUUGGCAAGGUUUUCUUUUUCUUUUCAUUAAGGUUUUCUUUUUUAUUAAGAAUUAAGUACAUCCGCCAUUUGCAAUUUUUUUGGAAAGGAAUUGCUUAUAGGAGCAAUGAAAGCAGUAUUUUUGAGUGUAAAUGUUGGUAUUAUGUCAAUGAACUUUAUAAAAAAUUUCCACCUAGAGAGAUCGCCAUUAUGUGGUUCCAGAUCACUGAGGGUGCCGCAGUGGGCACCUAGCCAAGCUGCCCCAGCCAAGAUUUGAUAAAUUAUCAGCUUGCAUACAGCAGCAAAGAUUCCAUUUAUUGUGCAAAAGCACACCGAUAUACAGACUUUUAUGUUUAAAAAAGCUGUUUACAAACAACUGUUUGUAUCAUUGAAAGCUCUGUUAUUGUGUUUUUCUUUUAAGGCAAAUGAUCUUAGUAUGAGUUUUUUUUUUUUUUUUUUU